UACGUAGGGAGCGAGCGUUGUCCGGAAUUACUGGGUGUAAAGGGAGCGUAGGCGGGAUCGCAAGUCAGAUGUGAAAACUAUGGGCUUAACCCAUAGACUGCAUUUGAAACUGCGGUUCUUGAGUGAAGUAGAGGUAAGCGGAAUUCCUAGUGUAGCGGUGAAAUGCGUAGAUAUUAGGAGGAACAUCGGUGGCGAAGGCGGCUUACUGGGCUUUUACUGACGCUGAGGCUCGAAAGCGUGGGGAGCAAACAGG
rnacentral:rRNA from 1 species